rnacentral:rRNA from 1 species
AUUGAACGCUGGCGGCAUGCCUUACACAUGCAAGUCGAACGGCAGCAUGGGUGCUUGCACCUGAUGGCGAGUGGCGAACGGGUGAGUAAUGCAUCGGAACGUACCCGGAAGUGGGGGAUAACGUAGCGAAAGUUACGCUAAUACCGCAUAUUCUGUGAGCAGGAAAGCGGGGGAUCGCAAGACCUCGCGCUUCCGGAGCGGCCGAUGUCGGAUUAGCUAGUUGGCGGGGUAAAGGCCCACCAAGGCAACGAUCCGUAGCGGGUCUGAGAGGAUGAUCCGCCACACUGGGACGGAGACACGGCCCAGAAUCCUACGGGAGGCAGCAGUGGGGAAUUUUGGACAAUGGGCGCAAGCCUGAUCCAGCCAUGCCGCGUGAGUGAAGAAGGCCUUCGGGUUGUAAAGCUCUUUCGGCUGGGAAGAAAUCGCAUCUCCUAAUACGGGGUGUGGAUGACGGUACCAGCAUAAGAAGCACCGGCUAACUACGUGCCAGCCGCCGCCGUAA